UACGUAGGUGGCAAGCGUUGUCCGGAUUUACUGGGCGUAAAGCGUGUGCAGGCGGACCUUUAAGUAGGAAGUCGAAAGGUUGGAGCUCAACUCCAACACUGCUUCCUAUACUGGGGGUCUUGAGUGUCGGAGAGGAAGAUGGAACUACACGUGUAGCGGUGAAAUGCGUUGAUAUGUGUAGGAACACCAAAUGGCGAAGGCAAUCUUCUGGACGAAUACUGACGCUGAUAACACGAA
rnacentral:rRNA from 1 species